GACGAACGCUGGCGGCGUGCUUAACACAUGCAAGUCGAACGGAAAGGCCCUGCUUUUGUGGGGUGCUCGAGUGGAGAACGGGUGAGUAACACGUGAGUAACCUGCCCUUGACUUUGGGAUAACUUCAGGAAACUGGGGCUAAUACCGGAUAGGAGCUCCUGCUGCAUGGUGGGGGUUGGAAAGUUUCGGCGGUUGGGGAUGGACUCGCGGCUUAUCAGCUUGUUGGUGGGGUAGUGGCUUACCAAGGCUUUGACGGGUAGCCGGCCUGAGAGGGUGACCGGCCACAUGGGGACUGAGAUACGGCCCGAACUCCUACGGGAGGCAGCAGUGGGGAAUAUUGCACAAUGGGCGGAAGCCGGAUGCAGCAACGCCGCGUGCGGGAUGACGGCCUUCGGGUUGUAAACCGCUUUCGCCUGUGACGAAGCGUGAGUGACGGUAAUGGGUAAAGAAGCACCGGCUAACUACGUG
rnacentral:rRNA from 1 species